rnacentral:rRNA from 1 species
UACAGAGGUCUCAAGCGUUGUUCGGAUUCAUUGGGCGUAAAGGGUGCGUAGGUGGCGUCGUAAGUCGGGUGUGAAAUUUCGGAGCUUAACUCCGAAACUGCAUUCGAUACUGCGGUGCUUGAGGACUGGAGAGGAGACUGGAAUUUACGGUGUAGCAGUGAAAUGCGUAGAGAUCGUAAGGAAGACCAGUGGCGAAGGCGGGUCUCUGGACAGUUCCUGACACUGAGGCACGAAGGCCCAGGGGAGCAAACGGG